rnacentral:rRNA from 1 species
CCUACGGGAGGCAGCAGUGGGGAAUAUUGGACAAUGGGCGAAAGCCUGAUCCAGCAAUGCCGCGUGAGUGAUGAAGGCCUUAGGGUUGUAAAGCUCUUUUACCAGGGAUGAUAAUGACAGUACCUGGAGAAUAAGCUCCGGCUAACUCCGUGCCAGCAGCCGCGGUAAUACGGAGGGAGCUAGCGUUGUUCGGAAUUACUGGGCGUAAAGCGUACGUAGGCGGUUAUUCAAGUCAGAGGUGAAAGCCUGGAGCUCAACUCCAGAACUGCCUUUGAAACUAGAUAGCUAGAAUCUUGGAGAGGUGAGUGGAAUUCCGAGUGUAGAGGUGAAAUUCGUAGAUAUUCGGAAGAACACCAGUGGCGAAGGCGACUCACUGGACAAGUAUUGACGCUGAGGUACGAAAGCGUGGGGAGCAAACAGGAUUAGAUACCCUGGUAGUCCACGCCGUAAACGAUGAUAACUAGCUGUUCGGGCUCUACGAGCUUGAGUGGCGCAGCUAACGCAUUAAGUUAUCCGCCUGGGGAGUACGGUCGCAAGAUUAAAACUUAAGGAAUUGACGG